rnacentral:misc_RNA from 1 species
AAUAAUUACACCUUAUUCCCAUUUUAUAGACAUUGGCACAUUGCUUGUUCAUAUCUCUGCUUGAACCCAACAAGCAACUUCCUAUAUAUAUACACCGUUUCUCUCGCUCUCAAUCUAUAUAUGUUUCCCUCUCUGUGUAGUUUGCUUUCUUUCUCUCUAGCAAAAAUAAACAAAAAUGGGUGCUCUUGAUUACCUGUCUAACUUUUGCACUGUCACUAGCACAAGAAGCAAACGCAAACCAAUGCAGGUACUAAUUAGCAGCUUCCGAUCCUUUUCUACCUUUUUCUUUUGUUUAUGAUCUGUAAAAGAGAGUAUGGUUUGCCCUCUCUCUCCGUCUCCAUCUCUUUUGCCUCUGUUACUUGCUCAACUGCUGUGUGACCUUUUCUUUAAAAGAUAUGGGUUUGCUUUGUUUUUUCUUUUGGUUUCUCAGACAGUUGAAAUCAAAGUGAAAAUGGACUGUGAUGGCUGCGAAAGAAGAGUUAAACACGCUGUUACCUCCAUGAAAGGUUGUAUUAUGAGAACUCUCUGAGCUCUUUUAAUUUCUUUCUUUGUAUGUUCUUGUUCCUAAGUUUACUUUUUGUCUUUCUGAAUCAUAUAUUUGCAGUGACCUGCAGAGAAGCAAGCACUCAAUUAAAAGAAAAAAGUCACAUAACUCACAUCAGCAUUUCUAAGAAAAAACAAAAGCUUCUUUUCGUUUGAUAUCUGCAAAAUAUCGAAAAUAGAAACAAAUGAAUCUGCUGUGAACCUUAAAGAAAACAUAUCUUCAGUUCUUUUAGCUGAAAAUAUUUAUCUUUUUGUGAAUAUGACAACUGACAAUUCAAUCAUCGAAAGAGAGACAAGUAAAUCAAUGGAUGAAAAUUUUUUGUUUUGUUAAAAAAUAAAAAUAAAGCCUUUGAAUCUCAAUAUUUGAAUGAUAUAUAUGAAGCUUUAUCCUAUUCUAGACGCUGGACUAAGGAGUGUACUUCAGUCACCUAUUUUAUAUUUCAAGAAAUUGGGAAUUUAAUUCUUAGCUCUGAUAUAAUCCAUGGCCAUAUAUCUACAUGUGCAGGUGUAAAGACA